rnacentral:rRNA from 1 species
GAUGAACGCUGGCGGCGUGCCUAAUACAUGCAAGUCGAGCGAACGGACGAGAAGCUUGCUUCUCUGAUGUUAGCGGCGGACGGGUGAGUAACACGUGGAUAACCUACCUAUAAGACUGGGAUAACUUCGGGAAACCGGAGCUAAUACCGGAUAAUAUUUUGAACCGCAUGGUUCAAAAGUGAAAGACGGUCUUGCUGUCACUUAUAGAUGGAUCCGCGCUGCAUUAGCUAGUUGGUAAGGUAACGGCUUACCAAGGCAACGAUGCAUAGCCGACCUGAGAGGGUGAUCGGCCACACUGGAACUGAGACACGGUCCAGACUCCUACGGGAGGCAGCAGUAGGGAAUCUUCCGCAAUGGGCGAAAGCCUGACGGAGCAACGCCGCGUGAGUGAUGAAGGUCUUCGGAUCGUAAAACUCUGUUAUUAGGGAAGAACAUAUGUGUAAGUAACUAUGCACGUCUUGACGGUACCUAAUCAGAAAGCCACGGCUAACUACGUGCCAGCAGCCGCGGUAAUACGUAGGUGGCAAGCGUUAUCCGGAAUUAUUGGGCGUAAAGCGCGCGUAGGCGGUUUUUUAAGUCUGAUGUGAAAGCCCACGGCUCAACCGUGGAGGGUCAUUGGAAACUGGAAAACUUGAGUGCAGAAGAGGAAAGUGGAAUUCCAUGUGUAGCGGUGAAAUGCGCAGAGAUAUGGAGGAACACCAGUGGCGAAGGCGACUUUCUGGUCUGUAACUGACGCUGAUGUGCGAAAGCGUGGGGAUCAAACAGGAUUAGAUACCCUGGUAGUCCACGCCGUAAACGAUGAGUGCUAAGUGUUAGGGGGUUUCCGCCCCUUAGUGCUGCAGCUAACGCAUUAAGCACUCCGCCUGGGGAGUACGACCGCAAGGUUGAAACUCAAAGGAAUUGACGGGGACCCGCACAAGCGGUGGAGCAUGUGGUUUAAUUCGAAGCAACGCGAAGAACCUUACCAAAUCUUGACAUCCUCUGACCCCUCUAGAGAUAGAGUUUUCCCCUUCGGGGGACAGAGUGACAGGUGGUGCAUGGUUGUCGUCAGCUCGUGUCGUGAGAUGUUGGGUUAAGUCCCGCAACGAGCGCAACCCUUAAGCUUAGUUGCCAUCAUUAAGUUGGGCACUCUAAGUUGACUGCCGGUGACAAACCGGAGGAAGGUGGGGAUGACGUCAAAUCAUCAUGCCCCUUAUGAUUUGGGCUACACACGUGCUACAAUGGACAAUACAAAGGGUAGCGAAACCGCGAGGUCAAGCAAAUCCCAUAAAGUUGUUCUCAGUUCGGAUUGUAGUCUGCAACUCGACUACAUGAAGCUGGAAUCGCUAGUAAUCGUAGAUCAGUAUGCUACGGUGAAUACGUUCCCGGGUCU